GGUUCUAUAGUGUUGUGGUUAGCACAUCUGCUUUACACGCAGAAGGUCCUGGGUUUGUGCCCCAGUGGAGCCA
rnacentral:tRNA from 1 species